rnacentral:rRNA from 1 species
UAGGGAAUCUUCCGCAAUGGACGCAAGUCUGACGGAGCAACGCCGCGUGAGUGAAGAAGGAUUUCGGUUCGUAAAACUCUGUUGUUAGAGAAGAACAGCGCAUAGAGUAACUGUUAUGCGUGUGACGGUAUCUAACCAGAAAGCCACGGCUAACUACGUGCCAGCAGCCGUGGUAAUACGUAGGUGGCAAGCGUUGUCCGGAUUUAUUGGGCGUAAAGCGAGCGCAGGCGGUCAAUUAAGUCUGAUGUGAAAGCCCCCGGCUCAACCGGGGAGGGUCAUUGGAAACUGGUUGACUUGAGUGCAGAAGAGGAGAGUGGAAUUCCAUGUGUAGCGGUGAAAUGCGUAGAUAUAUGGAGGAACACCAGUGGCGAAGGCGACUCUCUGGUCUGUAACUGACGCUGAGGUUCGAAAGCGUGGGUAGCAAACAGG